GCCUUCAUAGCUCAGUGGUAGAGCGUUGGUCUCGUAAACCAAAGGCCGAGAGUUCAAUCCUCUCUGAAGGCA
rnacentral:tRNA from 3 species